GGGAGGAGACUCGCCACGCCACCUCAUCUUUAGGAAACUCUGAAGCCCUGGCUUCUUGUGGAAUGUAGGGCUUUGUCCGGCACUUGGAGUGUAGGGGGAGCAAAAGCCAGAAUCUCCACCCCCCCACCCCCAAGAAUGGUAAAGUCAUCAGCAGUUGGGGGAAAAAAUUCCUCAAGAAGAAAAACAGAAAGAGGAAAGUGCUGAGCUCUGAGUUCUGUCUCUCUCCAAAUUUCCCCAAAUGUUUCCCCUCAUGAGGGAGGGAGAGGACCCGUCUGGGCUCUGAAGUCUGGAACAGGAGCAGAGGCUGCCCAGGUAUAAAUGUACCAGGCCUUCCAGAGUUCACUCUGCCCAUCUACAGAAGCAGCUGAGGUGGGAGAGGACGGCAUGAGAGACAAGACCACCGUAUCAUUCCAGCCCCAAUCGGAGAGUCCCAGACAACAGCUCCAGGCUCUCAGCUGGGCCCUGUGGCCCGAGGGGGAAGGGAGCAUGGUGGGCAGGGAGGAACUGCCACCUGGAAGGGCUUGAUGGGAACCAGCUGGCUGGGGUGGGGCCUUGGGAGUGUGGGUUGCGGGGAGGGCGGGGCCGGAGGCCACAGUGGGCGGGCAACUGACAGCUCAGGGCUGGGAGUGGCUGCUGGAGGCCCCCACCUUCCCUGAGGCUGGAGUCCAGAUGCCUCCACAGCCGUCCAGGCUCUUCCAACCCGCUGACCUCAUUCCCAGCUCCCUCCCGUGCAGCCCCCCUCAAUUGUCUGCCACGUAGACUGGAGCCUCAGCAACAAUCUCCGUAGGGGUGGCUGCGAGAGGAGCCAGGCACACUUAGCCCAGGAAACCUGCUAAGCCGGAGGGAGCUAGGGAAGGUAGCUGUGACCACUCGGUGCCUCAGUUUCCCCUCCCCAAACACGAGUCCCAGUGAAUGGAGAAGAGCGAGGUGUGAAGCGGGUUACAGUUGCUAAACAAGACUCAAGGUGUUGGGGGACCCUAGAGGUCACCCCAACCAUCCCUCAGUGUCUUGGGUCUGGAGUGUAUUGCUCUCAAGAAGGGGCAGAGGUGCGUGCGCAGGCUGGGGGUGUGUGUGUGGGGUCCCUCCUUUGUCAAAGGAAGUUCCCAGAAAGUUUGAAAUCCUUUGUGAAAUCUAGGCCCCCCCCCCCCCCCCCGCCACCUCAGGCUGCAUUAGGCUACAAUUUGCCAUUUUAUAGCAGAGAUAUAGUGAGACGAAUGUAGUGUCCUCUCCCUAGGCACCUUAGGGACCUCACCGUGAGUCCCUGGACUGAGCUCUCUCUACCUCUGACCUCUGUUUCUCCCUUGCCUCCCUGUCUCAGAGUGAGUGUCCCAGUUGACCCUGACUGACCAGGAAGCCAUCCCCAUUCCUGCUGGCCCACAGAGUUCCAGGCUUGUGAGUCAUCGGGGAAUGUCUGUUCUGCCUGCAGCUCCCAAACUCUAAGCCAGGGACCCUCUUGUUUGACAGGAGUCCUGGAAGCAGAGAGGAAGUCUUGCUUAAAGGAAAUCCACAAGUGAGCCAGAGGGCUUGGCCUCUCCCAGAGACGGUCCCUGCCUAAUGGCCGGCUUCAUCCAAGGUGGGGGAGCGGCAGAGCCCACAACUGCUGACUGUUUUUUUUCUGUGUCCUUCGUUAGGCACACACAGGUGAGGGCCUCUCUUUCUCUGUCUUCUCCUGACUAGCAGGCUUCACGGUGGAUGGGCUGGGCUUGCUCUUACCCUCCUCAGUAGCAAGUCUCCCUCGUAAGAGCCUAGGACCUAUGAGUCUCUGGUUCCCAAACAUUUGACACCUAGUGAGGGAAAACUUUGAGUGGUGCCUGAGCGGGAAGCUGGAGACCAGGAAAUGUAACGGGGUGAGUUUCUAGAGACGAGGGCUGGGAUCAGGGAGCCGGGACACAUCUCUCAGCUUCUGGCUCCAUUAUGAACUUAUGCUAUCGUCUGGUCUGUAUCCUCCUGAGACAAUGUCUGUGGAAGCCAAAAGAGAGUAUCUGAUUUUCUGGAGCCCGGAAGUGCAGGCGGUUGUGAGUUGCCUGAUGUGGGGGUCUGGAAACCAAGCUCAUGUCUUCUGCAAGAGCAGCAACUCCUUUUAACUGCUGCCGAGCCCGUCUCUCCAGCUUCUGUGCAGUUCGUUUUGGUUGUCCAUUUGAUGGACCUGGAGAUUCCCCAGCGGUUAGUAGUAUAGCUUAUUUCUGGGCAUGUCUGUGAGGGUAUUUCCAGAGAGAAUUAUCCGGAAGUUGGGAGACUUCUCCUGAAAGUAGACAACACCAUCCCAUAGGCUGGGAGCGUGGAUGAAAGAAAAAGGAAGCCCAAUGUGGCAGGCAUUCCCUCUCUGCUGCCUGGCUGCUCUGUCCCCUCACAUCCACCUCCUGCCCUGUCACCCCAGACCUGCAGCGAUGGGACAGUUGAUCGUGGAAGGAAUCGGUGAGCCCAAGCAGAUCUUCCCUCCUUCAAACCUUUUCAGGGUACCCUCAUCACUUACCAGUUUCUCUGUGCCCUGUGGGAACAGGAGAAGUUGGAAGUGCAGCCACCUAUAAUCAGAAUGGACAUCUAUGCCUGAGUGGGGCCCAUUCCUUGUGGGGCGGGUCAGAGGGUCUAGGUCAGCCCCAGGAAAGAUCAGGGCCCCUGCGUGCUCACGUGUGCGCAAUGUACUGUAGUAUAUAUACAAGUAUACACGUGUAUAGGCGAGUGGGGGUGUCACCUGCCCAUAUAUGUGUAUGUGAAGGCCAGGGGUCAAUGUUGGUUGUCUUUCUCACUUGCUUGUCACUGGGGAGAUUGGCUGUCUAAUAAAAAGCACCCAGAAUCUU
rnacentral:sRNA from 1 species